rnacentral:rRNA from 1 species
AGAGUUUGAUCAUGGCUCAGAACGAACGCUGGCGGCGUGCUUAACACAUGCAAGUCGAACGCGAACGAGUUCUUCGGAACUUCAGUAGAGUGGCGCACGGGUGAGUAACGCGUAAGUAAUCUACCCUCGCAUUUGGGAUAACCCACCGAAAGGUGUGCUAAUACCGGAUACGUCUAUUUUAAUAUCUUUUUGAUAGAGAAAGGUGGCCUCUGAUUUAAGCCACUGUGCGGGGAGGAGCUUGCGUACCAUUAGCUAGUUGGUAGGGUAACGGCCUACCAAGGCAACGAUGGUUAGCGGGUCUGAGAGGAUGAUCCGCCACACUGGAACUGGAACACGGACCAGACUCCUACGGGAGGCAGCAGUGAGGAAUAUUGCGCAAUGGGGGCAACCCUGACGCAGCGACGCCGCGUGGAUGAUGAAGGCCUUCGGGUUGUAAAAUCCUGUCAGAUGGGAAGAAGUGCCAGUUAUCUAAUAGGUGAUUGGUUUGACGGUACCAUCAAAGGAAGCACCGGCUAACUCCGUGCCAGCAGCCGCGGUAAUACGGAGGGUGCAAGCGUUGUUCGGAAUUACUGGGCGUAAAGCGCGCGUAGGCGGCUUUUUAAGUCAGAUGUGAAAGUCCAUGGCUCAACCAUGGAAGUGCAUUUGAAACUGGGGAGCUUGAGUACUGGAGGGGGUAGUGGAAU